CAGUGUUGAUAAACACCAAAUCCAAGUGAUAAAACCAAUGAACUGCCGGAUCUGACAGAAGCCUGGUCUAAUGUCGUGAACUACAAGUCAACUCUCAAUCUGGUCGAUACAACAACAAAAACUUCCACAGAAAGGCGAGCACACAACUGCCCAGAAAUCAGCCUGAGGUUUCAGAUUGGCUCCCCACCGUGGCACACACCAGCAUCUAGCGUGAUGAAACCAGAAGCACCACAGCGUCCUCCACAAUACUGUCAUCUCCCAGAAUCCCCCCCCCCACCCUACCCAACCAGUGUUGAUAAACACCAAAUCCAAGUGAUAAAACCAAUGAACUGCCGGAUCUGACAGAAGCCUGGUCUAAUGUCGUGAACUACAAGUCAACUCUCAAUCUGGUCGAUACAACAACAAAAACUUCCACAGAAAGGCGAGCACACAACUGCCCAGAAAUCAGCCUGAGGUUUCAGAUUGGCUCCCCACCGUGGCACACACCAGCAUCUAGCGUGAUGAAACCAGAAGCACCACAGCGUCCUCCACAAUACUGUCAUCUCCCAGAAUCUCCCCCCCCCCCCGACCCAACCAGUGUUGGUAAACACUCUCAAACAGACGACGAUUAGAGAAGGCAAGCAAGACUGGAAAUAGACAAAAGUCCUCUCCCCCAAAGCCCUAGGGCUCUAUCAGUAGAAGGUGAGGUGUUUGUUUAUAUAUGUUUCCCCCCAAUGAGACAAACUAUUACAAUCGGACUCAUUUUGUCAUAUACUUCUAUGCGGAGAAGAGUACAAACAAAAGAAAUAAACCCCAAACUAUUAGUCUAUCUCCAGCAGCUCCCUUAUCUCACAUCUUUCAAACUCUAUUAUCAGAUUUUAUUUUUGCAAGACCAGAUGCACGAUCUGCCUUAGAGUACAGUACAAUGACAUGGAAGUUUUUGCCAAACCCAUUGUUCCAAAGACGACAUAUGGUCUGCCCCGACGCCUAUGCCUUUGAAAUUUAAAAUUCAAGUUGGAACUUAGCAAUUUACUAUGCAAAGAUAUGCUCAUGACAUUGAUUUUGGUAAGGGUGGCUCAGAUAAUAUAAGAGUAAAUAAGCAUCACUUCAUCAUUUCAUGUCUUCCAUCAUUAUACAAUUUGUUACAGUACAGGAU
rnacentral:lncRNA from 1 species